rnacentral:rRNA from 1 species
GACGAACGCUGGCGGCGUGCUUAACACAUGCAAGUCGAACGGAAAGGCCCUGCUUUUGUGGGGUGCUCGAGUGGCGAACGGGUGAGUAACACGUGAGUAGCCUGCCCUUGACUUUGGGAUAACUUCAGGAAACUGGGGCUAAUACCGGAUAGGAGCUCCUGCUGCAUGGUGGGGGUUGGAAAGUUUCGGCGGUUGGGGAUGGACUCGCGGCUUAUCAGCUUGUUGGUGGGGUAGUGGCUUACCAAGGCUUUGACGGGUAGCCGGCCUGAGAGGGUGACCGGCCACAUUGGGACUGAGAUACGGACCAGACUCCUACGGGAGGCAGCAGUGGGGAAUAUUGCACAAUGGGCGGAAGCCUGAUGCAGCAACGCCGCGUGCGGGAUGACGGCCUUCGGGUUGUAAACCGCUUUCGCCUGUGACGAAGCGUGAGUGACGGUAAUGGGUAAAGAAGCACCGGCUAACUACGUG